GAUGAACGCUAGCUACAGGCUUCACACAUGCAAGUCGAGGGGCAGCAUUUUAGUCUGCUUGCAAACUGAAGAUCGGCGACCGGCGCACGGGUGAGUAACACGUAUCCAACCUGCCGAUAACUCCGGAAUAGCCUUUCGAAAGAAAGAUUAAUACCGGAUGGCAUACGAAUAUCGCAUGAUAUUUUUAUUAAAGAAUUUCGGUUAUCGAUGGGGAUGCGUUCCAUUAGUUUGUUGGCGGGGUAACGGCCCACCAAGACUACGAUGGAUAGGGGUUCUGAGAGGAAGGUCCCCCACAUUGGAACUGAGACACGGUCCAAACUCCUACGGGAGGCAGCAGUGAGGAAUAUUGGUCAAUGGGCGAGAGCCUGAACCAGCCAAGUAGCGUGAAGGAUGAAGGCUCUAUGGGUCGUAAACUUCUUUUAUAUGGGAAUAAAGUUUUCCACGUGUGGAAUUUUGUAUGUACCAUAUGAAUAAGGAUCGGCUAACUCCGUGCCAGCAGCCGCGGUAAUACGGAGGAUCCGAGCGUUAUCCGGAUUUAUUGGGUUUAAAGGGAGCGUAGGCGGAUUGUUAAGUCAGUUGUGAAAGUUUGCGGCUCAACCGUAAAAUUGCAGUUGAUACUGGCAGUCUUGAGUGCAGUAGAGGUGGGCGGAAUUCGUGGUGUAGCGGUGAAAUGCUUAGAUAUCACGAAGAACUCCGAUUGCGAAGGCAGCUCACUGGAGUGUAACUGACGCUGAUGCUCGAAAGUGUGGGUAUCAAACAGGAUUAGAUACCCUGGUAGUCCACACAGUAAACGAUGAAUACUCGCUGUUUGCGAUAUACAGUAAGCGGCCAAGCGAAAGCAUUAAGUAUUCCACCUGGGGAGUACGCCGGCAACGGUGAAACUCAAAGGAAUUGACGGGGGCCCGCACAAGCGGAGGAACAUGUGGUUUAAUUCGAUGAUACGCGAGGAACCUUACCCGGGCUUAAAUUGCAAAUGAAUUAUGGGGAAACCCAUACGCCGCAAGGCAUUUGUGAAGGUGCUGCAUGGUUGUCGUCAGCUCGUGCCGUGAGGUGUCGGCUUAAGUGCCAUAACGAGCGCAACCCUUAUCUUCAGUUACUAACAGGUCAUGCUGAGGACUCUGGAGAGACUGCCGUCGUAAGAUGUGAGGAAGGUGGGGAUGACGUCAAAUCAGCACGGCCCUUACGUCCGGGGCUACACACGUGUUACAAUGGGGGGUACAGAAGGCCGCUACCUGGUGACAGGAUGCCAAUCCCAAAAACCUCUCUCAGUUCGGAUCGAAGUCUGCAACCCGACUUCGUGAGGCUGGAUUCGCUAGUAAUCGCGCAUCAGCCAUGGCGCGGUGAAUACGUUCCCGGGCCU
rnacentral:rRNA from 1 species